GUUUCAGCAGCCGCGGUAAUACAGAGACCUCAAACGUUGUCCGGAUUUAUUGGGCGUAAAGGGUCCGCAGGUGGCUGUGUGCGUCAGUGGUCAAAGCAACGGGCUCAACCCGUUGACUGCCGCUGAUACGGCACAGCUAGAGCAUGGGAGAGGUAAGCGGAAUUGCCGGUGUAGUAGUAAAAUGCGUUCAUAUCGGCAAGAACACCAAAUGCGAAGGCAGCUUACUGGAACAUUGCUGACACUCAGGGACGAAAGCGUGGGGAGCGAAAGGGAUUAGAUACCCGAGUAGUCC
rnacentral:rRNA from 1 species